UACGGAGGGGGCAAGCGUUGUUCGGAUUUACUGGGCGUAAAGGGUGUGUAGGCGGUUGCGCAAGUCUGGUGUGAAAUCUUCACCGCUUAACGGGAAGAGGUCACUGGAAACUGCGUAACUCGAGUAUGGUAGAGGCAAGCGGAAUUCCUGGUGUAGCGGUGGAAUGUGUAGAUAUCAGGAAGAACAUCUGUGGCGAAGGCGGCUUGCUGGGCCAUCACUGACGCUGAGACGCGAAAGCGUGGGGAGCGAACAGG
rnacentral:rRNA from 1 species